UAAAUAAUUUUGGCCCCUUUGUUUUGGUACAAAUAAAUUGGCCCAAUUUAAGCAUUUGCCUUUUUCUAUAUGUAAAAAUAUUAAAAUCGACCGAAGUCAUCAACUGUCAACAUUUGACUUCACUUUGAACUAAUUUAACCCAAAUCAUUGGGUUCAUUUUUCUGUUCUUCUUUUGUUGAAGCAAAUAGGGUGAAAGUCAUGGGUCAGAAUAAUCAGAUAAUAGGAGAAGAUGAUUACAUUUUGUUGAAGGAUUUCGAAGUGGAAACUGAAGUUGAUGAAGAAAAGGGUUUUAUACUAUGUUUCUGGGUUUAUAUUUUCAACUCUAAUGCCUUUCCUUCCACCAUUCUUAAACAGGUAUAUGCAGAGACUAACAGCAGUCCUCCUUUACUUGUUCUUAAUGAAAAGACAUUGAUGAUUUUUCCAUUGACUUGUCUACUCAAUGAAGCUCUUGGUCCUGGAAACACUGAUUUUCCUUCAGAAGAUCCUAAAGUGUCCGCAGAGAUUGAACACCCUCAAAACAACUGGAUACAUGUUGGAUAUGAGGUUUCUUCUGAUUUUGUGCGGCUUUACAUUAAUGGCGAGAUUGCAGGAGAGCUGCAUCUCUCGUCCUUGUCAAAUGACAACUCCAUGCCAAAUGGUUCUAGGAAGAGGACAUUAUUUGGUAUUACUGGUGAUAGUAAUUUGCAGGGCUUUAUCCAUGAUGCAAAAGUCUUGCCUUCAACCUUGUCUAUAAAGGAGCAGUAUGUUAAGGAUCCACCUCUAAGGUUGUCAAUUGAUGAGUCUUCCAUCUCUGAUAUUGAAGAAGACAAUGGCUUUUGGAAUAUUGUUGGUGGCAAGGCAUCUUGCCGCAGGAUAUUUUCCUUGGAUGUUGUUCUAUUGAACACCUUUGGCCAACCAGUAAACAAGGAACUAGAGGUUGUUGCGUCACUUUUGUAUGCUCAUAACCGGUUACCUGUAGAGAAGACAAAUGAUGAAGAACCUCCUCUUCUAGCUAGCUGUGAUGGAAUUGAAUUUGCCUCUUGCGAUCGACCUUGUAAACUAUCAAAAGGCCGAGCUUCCUUUAAGCUGAAGAUCUCGAAGCUCUCGUCCAAGUGUGAUAAUAGGCAGUUCUGCAUUAAGUUUGGUGUAUCAAAAUUGGAGGGAUAUCGUUUCCUUGAGGACUUCUCCCCUUCAAUUCGGUGCAUCUCUCGCAAUCGUACUCCAAGGACAUCUACUAUUAUUUGGAAAAAAGUCUCUGCAGUUCAUCCAGUCAAUGGAUCUCAACCAUUUGGCUUAGAUGAUAGUUCUUGUGAACCUAAGCACAAUACUGUACAUGAAGCAAAACUCAGUCCAACAUCAAAGAGGGUUAGAUUGGGAGAAGCAAAGAUUUCUGCAGUUGACCAACACAGCGAAGAAUGCAAUUCUCUUGCCUCGAAGCAGAAUCAGGUUGAGAAUGGUUUUGGGUCAAGAUUGGAGGCAAGGCCUGAGAAUUUUGAAGAAAUGAAUACUUCCCUAUCCGAUUCAGAGAGCACUGGGGCCCGAGAUUCAGCUUUAAAGAGUGUGUCAAGCAGGGGACAUUCGGUUCCGGAUGUAACAAUUUUUAGGUACUGCCUGGGGGGCUUGACUGAUAGGUCUCUUUUGCUCAAGGAAAUUGCAACAACUGUUUCGGAUGAAGAAAUUUCAGGAUUCGCAGAACAGGUUUCCUUGUACUCCGGAUGUUCUCACCAUAGGCAUCAAAUAAAAAUGGCAAAGAGAUUGAUAGACGAGGGAACGGUAGCCUGGAAUUUGAUAUCACAAAACAACCUUCAAGUUCAAUGGGAGAGUGCAGUUUUUGAGAUCGAAGAGCAAUUCAUGAAGAUUGCUUCCUGCUCAUCUAGAUCUCUUACCCAACAGGACUUUGAGCUUCUGCGGAAAAUUGCGGGAUGCCAAGAAUACAUGGCCCAGGAAAACUUUGAGAAGAUGUGGUGUUGGUUAUACCCUGUAGCUUAUACAUUAUCUAGUGACUGGGUAAAUGCAAUGUGGAAUUCUACAUCUCCAAAGUGGAUAGAAGGAUUUAUAACCAAGGAAGAAGCUGAACUCUCACUUCAAGGUUCCAGAGGCCUGCAAGAGCCUGGGACAUUUAUACUUAGGUUUCCUACUUCUAGGAGUUGGCCCCACCCCGAUGCCGGUAACUUAGUUGUGACAUAUGUUGGCACUGAUUACAGUCUUCACCACAAGCUGCUUUCCCUUGAUAAUGUAUAUAGGUUCCGAGUUUUUAUAGAUAAUUUGUCUGGUAUCCUGUCUAUACAUGGAUUGAAGAGAAUUGUUGUUUACAUCUUGCUUAUAGUUCUGGAGUACGGGAAAAGAAUGUCAAAGUAAAACCAUUGCAAGAUAUGCUAUUGGAAGAACCCGAGCUUUCUAGAUUAGGAAGGAUAAUGAGACGCCACUGACCUUUAUUCGGAUGUAGCAUUGCAUUUACAUGUUCGGUUUGCAGUGACCAUUCAGAAAUUUUGCUGUCACUACCCUGUUGCUAGUUCUUUUUUCCCCUACUUCGAUCUGCUCAAGUCUUUUAUGAUAUAAUUAAAUGUAAAAAUAUUUGUAAUAGUAGAAGCCAAGACAGGAUAUUGUAAAAUCGAUCAUUUUGUUUUUAAUGACCAUUUGUUCUCAUCUUUUUCAUUUUUCAUAAA